rnacentral:lncRNA from 1 species
AAGACAUCUCAUCAGGAUGAACUGGGGCAAGGCAGCCUCCAGAAACACACCUGGGUCUCUGGGCAGUCAUCUGCAGGCGAUUGCCUCCAGGUGUUUGCCAGUGGGAACCCAUUGAAAGUCGAUGCAAUUUAGAGCAAUUUCUCUGGCAGUGGAAAUUAACCUGCAGGAAUCUGCCGGCAACAGGUGUAUUUUAGGGCAGACAUACCAGCGUCCUGCACUGUGGAGACAGGACUUUGACUACCAGGUGUAGUGCAGAAGGCUGGAUAAUUGGAGGAGGCAGAAAAUUAGUGCAGAGAAGAUGGCCAAAUUGCAGAUGCAAAAAGCUAAUUGGUAUUAGCAAAUGUGCCCAUUGAAAGCAAGCAUAUUUUAGUAACACAAGUGUACACUGUAGUGAUGUUUCUGAGGUCAUCAGAGAAGAUUUGCCAGAGGCUUUCGCUUACCCAAGGGAAGUAAUGUUAAAGGGUCAUGUGUUUUUCUGAAGCAAAGUAUCGCUUUUACAGAGAAAUGGCUGCUACCUAGGGCCAGUGCCUUCACAGUGAGUGCCAAUGUGUUUCACAGUCCAUGCUCACCUCUGGUAAUUUCCAAAAUCUGUCAUCAAAAUGAUCCAGAUCAUGAACUCAGAGAGAAACAACCCAUACUGGCUUGUCUGACCUCCCUGAUAGUCUAUCAACGAGAUUGAUUCUAUCUCAGUCUUACGGAUGCAAUUCUUCAUAUCCAAAAGAUACUGCCAUUUGUAGCACUUGUUCUAAGGCAGCAAAAGCAGCAGGAAGGACCAAUUCUACCUACAGCACAGGAUUCCAGAGAUGUCUUGAUUUUUAUUAAUGUUGGUUUCAAUGGAUGUUCCCCAGGCAUUUGCUACAAUGUGCUCUGAAGAAAUGGAUUGGAAAUAAACAAAUAAAUAAAUAAAUAAAUAAUUCCACAGGAGGAAAAAAAUGCGUUCUGAAAGGAUCAGGAUUUUCAAAGCCCCCAAGCUUCAACAUAUCCGAGGAUCGAAGGCCUGAAUAAAGUGGCAUCACAGAAGUGUGAGAACAGCCUUUCCCCAUUCUCCGGAGUGGAUCCAUGAGCCAGGAGUCAGGCCUGCACUUUGAGGAGCGGAAGUGCUUUUGUGAGGACAAGCAAGAAUGUCUUGUAAUUUCAACUACCCUUAAAGCUGUUUCAGGGUUCCCUGAUAAUGAACUAACUGAUACUGGGACUUCCCUUCUCCAUCCCCCAAAGAAAAGCUGCGUUCCAACUCAACACCUCAUAGAACCAGAGCCCCCUAAUAUCCCUAGGUGUGGGCAGCUGGCAUUCCCCAACAUUCCCCUAACACCCAGCACCUAAGCUAAGAAUGCUUGGGGCCUGAACCCCAAAUGUUUAUUCAGCCAUGUAAAGCCACUUGCACACUUGUCCUAUAAAAAAGGAAAGCAACAGAAUGUUUUUCUCCUCUUGGAGCAGAGCCCCACAGUGAAUCUAGCAAUGCACUGGCUCAAACAUGCCCCCUUUUCAGCAGCAUGCUGAAAGAAAUAGGAUCCAUGCGUCAGCUGGAAUUUCUAUCUCUGAGUUUCUACCUAAACUAAGUGAUACUUUCUGUUAUUCCCAGUCACAUCAAAACAAAUGUGAGAUUCAAAUUUUAAACUGGGCUAUACUGUAACAAAUUAGACUUGACUCUUUUUGUUUUGUUUUGUUUAAAUAACAGAAAGUGACUAGAAAACUAUAGGAUCCACCUAAGAUGCUAAGACAUGGCAAAGUGAGACCAAACAUAGCACAACAAAUAGUUGGAGACAAAAUAAAAGCAUUUUACAUUUGUGCACUACAAUGUUCAGGCUAUUCAACACACUGAUUUCACACAUACAGUCCCAUUUAUUGCCAACAAUAACCCUGCAAAGUAGGUACUAUUAUUGGGCACAUUUUACAUAUAAAACGACUUAAAAUUAGAGGAGGUAGUAUAUAUUUUCCUAAUUUUUGGCAGCCCAGCAUCUAAAGCCCUUUUCUAUGCUUGAAGAAUGCCCUGCCUUAUGAGUGAGUCUUGCUGGAAAGAAGAGACCAGCUUCCAAUAUAAAAACUGAAAAUACCAAAUACUUUUCCCAUAUUCCCUGAUAACUAUCACACUGACAUUAGAAGAGUCUCCACCAACAGAUGUGAGCAUGCCAGUUUUCCCCAGAAUCUAAAGAUACAAAGAAAGAGGAUUUUUGUGGGAAACCACUCUGGUGAAAAUGCCAGUGGAAGUCCUACACUGAACCCGAUUUCCAGUGGCAAGAAUUUUAGUGGCUCCAGCAGCGAUGCCCAGUGCUCCGUGACUAUGGGUUCACAAUGUACACAAACUGGUUGGGCCACUGCAGAUGAAAGAGAUGGCUUCAAGUGCUCAGUUAUGUGUCUUGAUUGGUAAUGUGGCCAUUGGCUGGGUAAUGUCCACACUGCUUCUCUGGCCCUUUUGAAGUGUCUGUUAGCCAUAAUAACUAGAUUUAUUUUCUGAUUAAAUUAGCUAGAAUUAGGUUCUGACUGACUUAGGAUAAGUAAUUGCUCUCUGAUCACACAUAGAGCAAAUGAUGGAGCUGGAAUUCCAGUCUUCACUAGGUUAUACUGAAUGAUGAGAUAAUGUUAUGGGCUGAAUUCAUGUGUUGAAGUCCUCAUCUCCAGAACCUCAGAAUGUCUGUAUUUGGAGAAGAGUUUUUAAUGUUGUAAUUCAGUGAAAGUGAGGUCAGUAGGGUGGCUAUAAUUCAAUAUGACCUGAAUCCUUACGAGAAUGAAAAUCUGGACACAGAAAUCCGUGUGGGAGGCCAUGUGAAGACACGGAGAAAGCAUCCAUCUGUGAGCCAAAGAGAGAGGCCUCAGAAGAAACCACCCCUGCAGACACCUUGUAAUUGGACGUCUAGCCUUCAGAACUGUGAAACAGGAAAUUUCUGUUAUUUAAGCCACCCAGUCUAUGGUACUUUGUUAUGGCAGUCCUAAUAAACUAAUACCAGGAAUGAGGAAUACGAAAGAAUUCAAGAUGAUCUCAAAGUUGCUCAAUGAGGUGACUUUAGAAAAGAUGAAGGGUAUGAGAGGAGUAGCCAUUGCAGAAGGAGAACAAGAUCAUGAAUUCAAUUCAGAAAACUUUGAUUUUGAGACCUCUGCAGGAGAAAAUAAGAGAAAGCUUCAAAGGCCUAGCUUCCUUUAUAGAGUCCUGGGAGAGACCUAAAGUUGAGGAAUAGAGAGAAAAGGCACCUCUGGAUACUCACUGGCAUUGGAUCCAGCUCUGAGUUGCUUGCUUUCUGGGCUUCAGAAUGACAAAGCAGGUUUAUGCACAGAGUUUUUCAAUAAGCAAGUCCCCACUGAAGGUCACAGGCCUAUUUCAGCAGUGGGAGAAACCACAGUCAGCAGUAUUGGGCCAUGCAAGUGAAGGGUUGUUCACUGGAGAGGUUUGUUACCUUAUUGGGAAGAUGAAGUUUUCAUCCAGCAUUAAGCCUAUGGCUAUAAUUCAGGGAUGAGACAAGGGUGUUUGCAUUUGUUAGCAUGAAGACAAACAAAUCCAACACCCUUAGGUCAGAAUUUCAGCUUAACAUGGUAUCUUGUGCUUGAAUAUCCCUUGCAACCUCUCCUGACUUUCCACUUUCCAAAGUGAGUCUUUUAAAAUGCUCACGUUUUGGCUCACACCUGUAAUCCCAGCACUUUGGGAGGCCGAGGCGGGCGGAUCACGAGAUCAGGAGAUCAAGACCACGGUGAAACCCCGUCUCUACUAAAAUACAAAAAAUUAACCGGGCGUGGUGGUGGGCUCCUGUAGUCCCAGCUACUCGGGAGGCUGAGGCAGGAGAAUGACGUGAACCCCGAAGGCGGAGCUUGCAGUGAGCCGAGAUUUCGCCACUGCACUCCAGCCUGGGCGACACUGCGAGACUCCGUCUCAAAAAAAAAAAAAAAAAAAAAAAAAAAAAGGCCACGUUUAUUGGUCUUAUGCCUAUAAAAAAAGUCUAUGUGGACAACCACUCAUUGAUUCAAUAAAUAAUGCUUAAGUGCUUACUCUGUGCCAGGAUUCUGAAAGGCACUGUGGGUAAAUGGUAGGCAAAUCUAAACCUGGUCCUGCCUUCAGAGAGUCUACUGUUUGAACGGAAAAAGAAGAGAAUGAGGCCAAACAAGAGGUUGUUCACCUGAGGAAAUGGAUGGGAGCUGGGCAAGCCUACCUGGCAGAGGCUCACCUGGCUGAGUACCUAUGAAAUUGCCAUGGAUGAUCUCAAAAUUCAAAGAAAAGUCCAGUGCAUAUAAAUAAAAACCUUGAAAACACAAAUUCAUAGGCAAAAGGCUGAGAGGCCACAUAAAUUACUUUUAGUGAAAACAACAAAUAAUAUUAGUAUUAUUUCUGUUUCAGUAUUCAAGGCAGUGGUGAUGGGAACUUGAGGGCAUGAGAAUCAGGGCAAAGAGAAUUACUGAAAGAGUAAAACUAUCUUAAAGAUGUGAGGUUGGCCACUGAUGGAGAGGACAAGCAGGACAGGGAUCGGGGGACCAAAGUCCAGCUGCACUGACUCCAUUCAGCUCUGCUCUGUUCACCCUCAUCCCAAACCUGUCCCCAUCCCCAGACAAAUAGAAGCUGUGGACAAAGAUUGUUUUUGCCCUCCACAUCUCCAAUACUCUGUUUUCAAAUGACUGCAACCAACCCAACAAAAGAACUCACUUAACAUAUUAGUAGUAUCUUAAAUGAUGCAAUUUUAUCUUGUCCAUGAAAUAGCUUCAAUUAAAACAAAUUAUCUCUUUCCAUUCAUAGCUUAAUUCAUAUAGCACAUCUGAUAGAGCCUUUUUAAAUGCUCACUUUUAUUGGUCUUAUUUCAAAAUUAAUUCAUGUUUAUAGUCUAGCAUUUAGAAAAUUCCAAGGCAAAGCAGGCUACAUUUGUGUGUUUCCUCUUGGUGUCUCCAGUGCCCCAUGCCGCCACUGCACAGAGGACAUUAAGCAUUGAACACAGAGAACUAAACCACUUAAGGAACCACCCAUAAUCUCAAUACCAAUAGAUACUUACCCUCACUUUUUUGAUAUGUUUUUUCCAGUCACUUGUGUAUGUAAGCAUACAUACAAAAACAGGUGUGUGUGUGUGUGUAAAAAUGUGUGUUUACAGAGUUCGUUUUACAGGAAAGCACAAAGUCAGAUAGUUGUUAUCGGGCACCUAUGGGAAAUGUCAUAGGAGACUAAAGAUGAGACGAAAACUUUGGGACCACCACUCUUAAUCAUCCUAAUACUUGAUCUUUCCAUGGCUACCCUGAGAUAGAAUAAAUGGCUUUUGUAAAACAACUUAAACCUCAUCUCCUUAAUUGAGGUAUCCUGCUUUCUUACUCUUAUUUACGUGUCUAAGUCAGGGAGAAACAUCCCAUUAUGUCACAAAUAAGAUUAAAGGUAGUUGUAAUUAAAUUUCACCAUGUGCCCUGAGUUUUCCCACCUGAGAAUUAUAAGAAAAAAAUCAAAAGGUCUUCUCCUCUUACUAGACUACCCACCAAAUGGUCAUUACAUUUUCCUGUAGGCUGCAGAUAAAAUCUCUCUAUCAUAAGUCUCCCAAUCACCAAGUGAGAAAACACCACUCUGGGGUCCAGGGAUGUGUAGGCAAUUGAAGAGUUUCUCUUUUAAGAAUGGCAGCUCAUUAGGGUAAGUGUCCAAGAACAUAAUGAAAAAAUUGUGGUAUAUUUAUACUGGGGGAUAUGCCAGAUUAAAAAACGAACACAUUUGAGUUACAGAUAGCAACAUGGAUAAAUCUCUAAUGCAGAAUUUUAAUAAGAAAAAGGCAUAUUGCAGAAUUAUAGGUGCAGUAUAAUACCAUGUAUAUAAAGUUUAAACACAAAAACAUGCUAUAUAUCUUUUAUGGAUAUAUCCUUGUGCAGUAAAAAAUAUAAAAUAUGCAUAAGAAUGACAAAGACAAAUUUUAGAGGAUUUAUUCCCUUAGGGAGAAAAGGAAACGGCAUCACAAGGAUUACAAGAUUUGAAUUGAAUCUACAAUAUUUUAUUCCUUAAGCUGAGUAGCGGGUACAUGGGUGUUCAUAUACUCAAAACCAUUUUUGGCACAUGAAAUAUUUUAAAAUUUUUUAAAAAGCUAGAUAGUAUGAUUGACAUCUUCAGAUACUUGAAGAUCUGGCAUGUUGAUGAUGGAAAGUAUCCUAUGACUAAGUAGGUAAAGCUAUUAUGAAGGCAAAUUUUAGGUCAUUCUUAGGAAAAACCUAAAAGGGCUGUCUAAAAAUGAACAGUGUCUUCUACAUGAUUAAGGAGUAAAACAGAGUUAAGGUCUUCGGAGGUAGCAAGUCACAGUGCAAGUAGAGUUCACUUGUCUUUGUCUUGAAAGCAAAGAUUUCUUUUCUCUUGCAAAAUUCCCGGGACAUAUCCUGAUAAAGCUUUACAUCUCAGCAGCAUCACUCUGAUUGCUCUUUUUUCAGUUGGUGUCAUUGGAAGCCCCUAAACCCUAUUUAACUUCAGUGCCAUUGACUGGCACUUCCUGCCACUUACAUCUUUGCCAUUUGGCAGUGCCUGGGUUGGACAGAUCUGCCACCUGGUUCUGGUUCUGCAUUAUUGUCAUUCCUUGUGCCAGUCAUAAGGAUUCACUGGCACCCCUCUGAGAUUAGGAGUUCUCCAGGUCUGGAGAUAUUAAAAAAGAGAGAGAUGGUCAGCGAUGCUAUAGAAGGGAUUUUAGUAGUCUCUGGUAUGCUGGAGCACAUAACCUUUGAGUAUGGAUUUCCAUAUUCAUUUAUUCAAGAAAUGUUUAGUGAGUGUUUACUUUGUGCAAAGCACCUUGCUCGUUAAGCUUCUAUGGCUCUAGAAUUUGUCUUUGAAAAUGCGUCUCUAACUUUACAGAAAUGAAAAUUGAGACAUGAUGGGAAAACUUAUUUUAAGCAAACAAUAAGGCAGGCAGGCAGGCUGUGGUUUGCAGACCGACCACUUCUAGCCUUAUUGCCAAGAGCACUACGAGAGUCACAGGAACAUUUUGGAGAUAAUGUUACAUUCACAGACUUGUACAUGUCUUACAGUGAAAGACACCCCAGAGGUUAUCCAAUUCAAAUACUUCAUUUUACAGACGAGGAAACAAAAGCCUGGGGAGGUAUGUGGCUAACUGAUUGCAGAAUCUAUUCUCAGAUAUGGUAUUUCCUUCCCAACCUUGAAAGUUGUGUUCCUGAAAACCUCCAUGGAAGGAGAAAUUACACUUGAGGAACUUACGACCUUAGGAAGAAAAUAGAGUUUGGGGAGUAAGAUAGUGAGUGAAUCUGAGAAAGUUAUCAUCAUUGUUUUAUAUCUACUAAUAAAACAAUGUAGGUACCAUUGAUACCCACUUUAUUUUAUGCCGAACGCAUUUGUAAUGGUGAAUCUUGUACAGGUGAUUUUAUUUACUUCUUAGAAUUCCUUAUUAACACUUCUCUAGGCUCUCUAUACACAAUUUUUGUAAAACUUCUUGUGAGUCAUUGCCUUUUUGUGUAAAUACUGGUUACAAUGGAUUGUUUUCUGUUUCAGGUCCUGUUGUCUCUGCCUUUUUGCAUCUUUGACAUUAUCAUUGUAACUUAUAACUUCUAACCUCUACUCUGACUCAACUUGGUUGUUUCCUGAUUCCUCUCUCUCCUUCUUGCUGUUCCUUCUCUCUGCUGUCCUUUAACUGUAGCUGCUCACCAGGACUAUGCUGUAAACUUUCACCUCCUCUCACUGUUUACUCUACCUAUGUAACUAUCAUGUUUGAUAAUGAGGUCCUGCUGAAUAAGCCUGUUUGCUGUCUUUCCAGGCUGUGCUUUCCCACUCCUGCAGCUACUGCCUUAAUUCAGGUUAUCACUGUCUCUCACUAGGACCCCUGCACUAAUCUCCUUGAUUGGUCAAAGGUUUCAUUAUUUGCAUUGUGCUCUGAGUGAAAUUUUCUUAUGACGGCUUACAGUUCCCAGUGGCUGCAUGUGCCUAUAGAACACUAACUUCCUAAGCAUUUCAUCCAAGGCCCUCCACCUUAGCUCUUGUACCCUUUACUCCAGCCAUAUUUAUUGACCCUACUUGAUGGCCUAAUGUACCAGACUAUUUGGCAUCUUCAUGCCUUUGUGAACUGACUUUUCUUCAUCAGGAAUGCCCUUCACUCUGCCCCUCUCACGCUACCCAUUUCCCCUCCCACGUGCAAUCACCUGCCUGGUGAACAUCUACUCUUCCUCGAAAACUUUGCUCAUACCAUCACCUCUCCCUUGGAGGUACCACUUCCUACUCCUACUUUCUGCUCAUCUCGUACCUCAUUAAAGAGAAUAGGAGGUUCCCACCACAAAAUCUGAAAGCCUCCUGCCACAAAACCUGUCUUCUUCCCUCUGUGCAACUGAAUGUGACUCCUUGUAAUCAAAUGCUCAUCCCUCAAUUCAUGUUGGGAAUCCCAUCUCUCUCACUUUCUCAAGAAGUUCAAUGCUUCUGUCAGACUGUCUCCAGUCAAUUAUUCCCAUCAGCAUAUAAACAUAAUCCAGUAUUACUGUCCUAACCAAUACUCCAUAUUGAUCCACAUCCCUUUCCAGCUACCAUUCUUUUCUGUCUUUCACAAUAAAAUUCCAUAAAAUAGUUGUGUACACACAGCACUUUUAUGUUUUCACUUCACAGUCACUUUGGAAUUCACUUCAAAUUGGCAUUCACCCACAUGACCCAGUUGGUCACUAAUGACCUUUAUAGUGCUAUGUCCACAUUUUCAUCUCACUAGAACUUUCAGCAACAUCCAACAAUUGACCAUUCUCUUCUCAAAAUUGGCCAUUCUCUUCUUGAAAUUGUUCUUGGCUUACAUGAUUCCAUAUUUCCCUGGUCUUUUAUCUGCUUCUCUACCUGCUCCUCCUAAGCCUCUGUUGUGUCUUUUCUUCCACUUUCUAUAAUACCUCUAAGUAUUGAAUUUCCUCAGUAUUCUGCUCUGAACCCCAUGCCUUAUGUUUCCAUAAAUAAUCUCAUUCAUCCUCAUGGCUUAAAAUACCAAUUCCAAGCCAAUGACUCCUAUGUCUGUAUCUCUAGUCCUAACCUCUCCUCUGACCUCCUGACUUAUACUCUUGUCUUUAUAACACCCACUUAUGAAUGCUUCAUGGACAUCUCACAUAAAUAUAUCCAAGACUGCAUUUUUAUUUCCCUCUGAAAACCUAGUCCUCCUUCCAUCCUCCCCACCUCCCUUUUUUGGCAACAUUAUCCACGCUGUUGAUCAGGUCUGGAUCCUGGGAGUCACUAAUUAUUUCUCCCUGUAUUUCUUCCUCUAGUCCAAUUCGUCACUAAGUCUGAUCAUCUGUCUCCUAAAUGCAGCAUAAGGAGAUCCACUUUUCUUUAUCGUUACUGCCACAUUGUAGUUUGAUCUACUAUUAUUUUAAACUUAACAACCACAAUACCUUCAAACUGAUCUCCAUGCACACAGAACACAGUGACUCUCAUCCUUAAUUGAAUCUCUACACAGCCACAGAAACAGUCUUUCUUGAAACAUAAAUCCCAGCAUGACACUGCCUGACAUGCAAUCUCUCUUUGCACUUUGUCUUAGUCCAGGUACAUCAGUGUUGCUAUAAGUCCUGUUGGUCAGCCUCCUGCCCCGUACCCUAAGCUCAUCUUACAUCAGCGAGUCCUCACUCUCCACUCUCUAGACUGACUCCUGAUGUUUUCUCAAGCAAGUUGAUUUCUUUCUCAUCUUAAUCCUUCACAGGUGGUACAUAGUGCUUCCCGAGUUUAGAUCUCCACUCUCCCUUAUGUUCUCAUAAAGGAUUCAUAUGUCCUUUAGGUCUUGGCUUAAAUGCCAUCUAUUCAGAGAAGCCUUCCCUGGCGACCUUAUCUGAGUCAAUCUUCCAUUGUUAUAUUGUUAUAUUGAUUUGCUUUGUUUCUUGCUACUUCUUCUACUUGACUCGGUAGAAGGCUCUGCAUAAUUGACCAAAAUAUAUACAGUGUUUUUCAGAGUGCUAGUCACCUAUUAGUACUGAAGAAUUAUUUGUUGAAUAACUUAAUGAUUUUUUUGCAGUUACACGAGUGUUGUUUUGAUUGACUGAAAAUAGAUUGCCUAAGAUGACAUGAAAGAUCAAAGGUGAAGAGUGGAAGAUAGCACCACUUUGGGUUAAAAGUUUACUUAAGUCAGCAACUCCUCAAGAAACAGCUACCAGCAUUCCUGGGACUAUUAUGCCCUGGUCUACUUGUAGCCUGUUUGUAUUCCAGCCUACUUUGGCACCUUGCCGUCUCUGCUUACCGACUUUCUGCAUAAGAGUGAAAUAGAAAGUGACUUGGAACCAUGUAUACCUAAAGUGUGACAUUUAAAAAAACGUCCUCAGAAAAACUAAUAUCCUGGUUAUUUUUGAAUGUGCUAAGAGACUCUUUUUUUUAAUCUUGUUUUUUUAUUUUGAAUAUAGAGCACAUUGAGGUUUAAAAUGGAAAAUUCUAUUAAAAAUAAAAGGCAUACGUUUACAUAUCUUACAAUUACCUCUGCUUCUGUCCCUCCCAUUCCUUAUGAG